rnacentral:rRNA from 1 species
AUGCAAGUCGAGCGAACUGAUUAGAAGCUUGCUUCUAUGACGUUAGCGGCGGACGGGUGAGUAACACGUGGGCAACCUGCCUGUAAGACUGGGAUAACUUCGGGAAACCGAAGCUAAUACCGGAUAGGAUCUUCUCCUUCAUGGGAGAUGAUUGAAAGAUGGUUUCGGCUAUCACUUACAGAUGGGCCCGCGGUGCAUUAGCUAGUUGGUGAGGUAACGGCUCACCAAGGCAACGAUGCAUAGCCGACCUGAGAGGGUGAUCGGCCACACUGGGACUGAGACACGGCCCAGACUCCUACGGGAGGCAGCAGUAGGGAAUCUUCCGCAAUGGACGAAAGUCUGACGGAGCAACGCCGCGUGAGUGAUGAAGGCUUUCGGGUCGUAAAACUCUGUUGUUAGGGAAGAACAAGUACAAGAGUAACUGCUUGUACCUUGACGGUACCUAACCAGAAAGCCACGGCUAACUACGUGCCAGCAGCCGCGGUAAUACGUAGGUGGCAAGCGUUAUCCGGAAUUAUUGGGCGUAAAGCGCGCGCAGGCGGUUUCUUAAGUCUGAUGUGAAAGCCCACGGCUCAACCGUGGAGGGUCAUUGGAAACUGGGGAACUUGAGUGCAGAAGAGAAAAGCGGAA